ensembl:lncRNA
CUUUUUGGAGUAUGCAAAUCCUGAUCCUUGGGGCAGUACCAUUGAGGACAGGCACUGCAAAAGCCCUCUCAACUGUAAAGAUUGGCAGCCAUCCACACUGAGGUGCUGUUGCCUCUGCCUAAGAUCCCACCGCGCUGCCCAAGCCUGGCUGUAAGCGGCGCUGCCAACAGGAGUAUCCAUGUUGUGUGCCAGCGUAGAAGCUUGAGGAGGAUGCGGAAGUUAUACCACAGGCAGCAAGGAGGGAGGAGAGACACAAUACUUGCUUUCCUCGUAGGAGGAGCUGCGACUUUUCAUAUUCUCCUCCUAUACUUCUUCCUAUGCCUCCUCCUUUCUGAAGGGCAAGUAAAGCUCUCCCUGAGGAAUUCUGUUAACACAGAAGCUGUGCUCCCUGCUGUGAAAACACCAUGAAAGAAAGUUUGAAAGGCUCUUUGGCCUCAGAAAAUGCUGAAGAAAGAGGGAAGUUUUAGCAGUGUAGUAGCAUCCUUCAGCCCUGUUCACAAGGGCAACCCUUUCUGAGUGUGUUGCAGUUGCGAUGGGAUGUCAUUACACACAUUUUAAAUAAAUCCUAGCAAAUCUUUGUGAUGGGGAAUAACAGAAGUGAAAAUCCACCAGUAUGAUGAACUCUGAUUUAUCAAAGAUAACUACAGGUGUUUUUUCAAGGAAGGCCAAGCGACUCUUCUCAUUAUGUAGGUGGAGGAAAAUGGGCAAAGAAGUGCUAUUCCUGAAUGUCAUCUGGACAAAUGAUGGAAAGAGGACUUAUUCUGGAAGUGAAGCAUCCUAGUCAGAAACUAUAUCAAAAAGAAAAAAUGUAUUCCAUUGCAGUACAUCUCUAGAGUAAUUAGCAAUUAGAAACACUAGCAACAUAGCCCUGGCUCCCUUAGUAGCACUCCUGGGCUUCCACAGCUUUGGUCACGUCAUAUCAGCUGUAUCCCAACUCUCCCACCACUAAAACAAGGACUAACUAGUAGCAGUAUUGCUGCCAGACACAAGUGAAUGUUCCUGAAGCUCUCCAAGAGCUUCAGAUGCAGGAAGAGGACUAAAGUGCGAAGUUGCUAAUUAUUUCAACACUCCUUCUUGUUAGUAUUAAUCAAAGUAUCAAGCCAGUUCUCUGUAAUCCAAGCAAAGAAGAUUGAGUUUUCAUGGUGGGAAAUGCUUUAAAGUUCACUGUGCUUGAAUCACAAAUUUACUGUAUGUUUCCUGCUUGCUGGCUUUGUGCAUGCAUGGGUGAAUUUCUUUUGCUGUUUUUACUAAUUGUUGGAACUACUUCCAGUGGCUUUAAACAAAUGUUGACUC